rnacentral:rRNA from 1 species
CGUGGCCGCCUCAGGUCGUAAGCUCGUAGUUGGAUUUGUGGCUGUCACGGGCGGCCUAUCACUUAGUGUUAGUGCUUGCCUGUGUCGCCAUCCUUGGGUGGAGCCCGUGUGGCAUUAGGUUGUCGUGCGGGGGAUGCCCAUCGUUUACUGUGAGAAAAUUAGAGUGUUCAAAGCAGGCUUAUGCCGUUGAAUAUGUUAGCAUGGAAUAAUAAGAUAGGACCUCGGUACUAUUUUGUUGGUUUGCGCACCGAGGUAAUGAUUAAUAGGGACAGUUGGGGGUAUUCGUAUUCCAUUGUCAGAGGUGAAAUUCUUGGAUUUCUGGAAGACGAACUACUGCGAAAGCAUUUACCAAGGAUGUUUUCAUUAAUCAAGAACGAAAGUUAGGGGAUCGAAGAUGAUUAGAUACAUUCGUAGUCCUUCGGGGGAAAACGUACUGGGACGUGAGAGGUGAAAUUCUUAGACCGUCUCAAGACGAACUACAGCGAAGGCAUUUUCCAAGGAUACCUUCCUCAAUCAAGAACCAAAGUGUGGAGAUCGAAGAUGAUUAGAUACCAUCGUAGUCA